AGAGUUUGAUCCUGGCUCAGGACGAACGCUGGCGGCGUGCUUAACACAUGCAAGUCGAACGGAAAGGCCCUGCUUUUGUGGGGUGCUCGAGUGGCGAACGGGUGAGUAACACGUGAGUAACCUGCCCUUGACUUUGGGAUAACUUCAGGAAACUGGGGCUAAUACCGGAUAGGAGCUCCUGCUGCAUGGUGGGGGUUGGAAAGUUUCGGCGGUUGGGGAUGGACUCGCGGCUUAUCAGCUUGUUGGUGGGGUAGUGGCUUACCAAGGCUUUGACGGGUAGCCGGCCUGAGAGGGUGACCGGCCACAUUGGGACUGAGAUACGGCCCAGACUCCUACGGGAGGCAGCAGUGGGGAAUAUUGCACAAUGGGCGGAAGCCUGAUGCAGCAACGCCGCGUGCGGGAUGACGGCCUUCGGGUUGUAAACCGCUUUCGCCUGUGACGAAGCGUGAGUGACGGUAAUGGGUAAAGAAGCACCGGCUAACUACGUGCCAGCAGCCGCGGUGAUACGUAGGGUGCGAGCGUUGUCCGGAUUUAUUGGGCGUAAAGGGCUCGUAGGUGGUUGAUCGCGUCGGAAGUGUAAUCUUGGGGCUUAACCCUGAGCGUGCUUUCGAUACGGGUUGACUUGAGGAAGGUAGGGGAGAAUGGAAUUCCUGGUGGAGCGGUGGAAUGCGCAGAUAUCAGGAGGAACACCAGUGGCGAAGGCGGUUCUCUGGGCCUUUCCUGACGCUGAGGAGCGAAAGCGUGGGGAGCGAACAGGCUUAGAUACCCUGGUAGUCCACGCUGUAAACGGUGGGUACUAAGGUUGUGGGGUCCAUUCCACGGGUUCCGUGCCGUAGCUAACGCUUUAAGUACCCCGCCUGGGGAGUACGGCCGCAAGGCUAAAACUCAAANGAAUUGACGG
rnacentral:rRNA from 1 species